rnacentral:miRNA from 1 species
UGGGUUCCUGGCAUGAUGAUUU